ACACUAACAGAUAUUGCUACCUCUAUAUUAGACCAGUUAGGUCAGCCUAUACCUGAUAAUUUUAGUUCACCAUCACCAGUUGAUGAUAUAUUAGAUACACCAGUUACAUUAAGAAGCAUACUAAGAAUAGGAACAGACAUUGCUAAUAAUUUAAUGGGAGAAAGUGGAGAAAUACCUGCAGGACAUGGUUCCACUAUCAAAUAUAAUGUAAAGGGUUAUAUGGAUAAUGGACUACAGUGGAAGUGGGUGUGUACAUUCGAAGAUACAUGUACAGGAUUGAAAAUAGAAGGGCCUCCUAAAGAAAGUCGCACUGGUGCAAUGGAGCAUUGUCAUAAAGCAUGGCUUGAAAAAAUUGGAGAGAAACCAUAGACACAUACCUUUUUUGCAUACUUGAAUUAUAUUUAGAUAAAUCUACUACUGAGCUUUACUGCAUUUAUUUUCUGAAAAGUUGUUAUCCCUAUUUGAUGCUUCAUAUUUAUUUUC